rnacentral:rRNA from 1 species
UACCAGCUCUCCGAGUGGUGUGGAUGUUUAUUGGGCCUAAAGCAUCCGUAGCUGGCUGGGCAAGUCCCCUGUUAAAUCCACCGAUUCAAUCGUUGGAGUGCGGGGGAUACUGCUCGGCUAGGGGACGGGAGAGGCCGACGGUAUUUUCGGGGUAGGGGUGAAAUCCUAUAAUCCCGGAAAGACCACCAGUGGCGAAGGCUGUCGGCUAGAACGCGCCCGACGGUGAGGGAUGAAAGCUGGGGGAGCGAACCGGAUUAGAUACCCGGGUAGUCCCAGCUGUAAACGAUGCAGGCUAGGUGUUUGGGCGGCCACGUGCCGCUCUAGUGCCGCAGGGAAGUUGUUAAGCCUGCCGCCUGGGGAGUACGGCCGCAAGGCUGAAACUUAAAGGAAUUGGCGGGGAGCACCACAAGGGGUGAAGCUUGCGGUUU